CGUAGUCGAAAUGCGUGUUCUGGCGCGAAGAGUAUCCCAAGUAGCACGGGGCCCGAGAAAUCCCGUGUGAAUCUGUCAGGACCACCUGAUAAGCCUAAAUACUCCCAGAUGACCGAUAGCGGACAAGUACCGUGAGGGAAAGGUGAAAAGUACCCCGGGAGGGGAGUGAAAUAGUACCUGAAACCGUGCGCUUACAAUCCGUUAGAGCAUGACCCUUGUGGUUGUGUGAUGGCGUGCCUUUUGAAGAAUGAGCCUGCGAGUUAGUGAUAUGUGGCGAGGUUAACCCGUGUGGGGUAGCCGUAGCGAAAGCGAGUCUUAAUAGGGCGAUCGAGUCGCAUGUU
rnacentral:rRNA from 1 species